UCCAGAGGGUCCAUAGAGGCCGCCUCCGCCUCUGCGCUCCGCCGAGGUUUCCGGCCUGUCUAGGGGGUGGGUCGGGGGACCCGCCGGCCAACCUAAGGGGAUCCGGGCCAGUGAAAAUUCUCUCGGAGCAGUGGCGCCCAGCUGAGACGCACCAGCUUCAGCAGGAAUAACUAUGGCCUGGGCUACAAGCUAUACAGGGAAGGUGUCCCCUACAGGGUGUAUGAGUACCAAAGGAUCCCUCCGCUCAUCCAUCGUGUGCCUGUCAAGAUCCGGAGGACCCAGGUGGGCUUGGGGGUCAAGAGCAGCUUCAGUCCCCACAAGGGCACCAGAAAGAGCCACCUGCCCCGAGAGCAGAUAAAGCUCCAGACUGAGGAGCUGCACUCCAUCAGGGGCGAGCUGAGCCAGAUCAAAGCCCAGGUGGACCGUCUCCUGGAGAAUCUGGAAUGCAUGGACCAGCAGAGGGACCAGCUUCCGGGUGGAACACCAACUGUGGACCCAGGCCACAUUCCCAGGUCAGAGGACAGUGAAGAAACCAAGGGCCCAGGCAGUAAGGGUUCCUCAUGCAGAAUCACUGACCCCCAGCAGGAGCUCAGGGGCCAGAGCGCCCAUCCGGAAUCAGACAGCGAUGAGGAGAGCGCAGACCCGGAGGAGGCGGGGAAGAACCAUGCAUCAGACCUGGAGGGCAGCCAGUAGAAGGGUGGAACCCCUCCGGGCUCCUUCCCAAGUGGCUCCUUUGCUUGCCUCGUGUGGAUUCCUGAAAGCCUCUCGAAGGAGACUGUGCCGCCAGAGGCACCUGUUCUAGAAUGAGCACAGUGAAAGUGGAAGCAAGGCUCAGCCAGACCCGCCAGGAAGCCUCCCCCAUUAAUGGUGGCUUUUGCUUUGGAGGUCGUUUCCAGAUGAUAGGGGCCAAGAGGGAGUCCUGCAACUGCCUUAGCACAAGCUCACUGCGCUCACGAAGCUGAGGCCGUCUUGCAAGGGGCAGCUGCCCAGUCCCCCCUUGGACACACGUCAGCUCCCGGGGACAGCAGGUACUGCGCUGGCUGCUCUUCCCAUCCCCCUGCCGGUUCCCAGUGUGGCGCGUCCCGCAGCGGCCAGCCAGUGGUGCCCAGGAAACUCAUGUGCCUACAGUCCCCCUUCCAGUCUGAAAGGGAACUUUAAGUUCCUCAGCGUGCGCCCCCACAAAGCCCCCUCUAGUUCCAGACUCCUCACCUACCCUAUAAAGCCAUCCUUCAGAAUAGGGGUAUCAUUUUCACAUCCUAUUUCUAUCUUGUCUCUUGCUGGUGUGAUACUAUGUACUUCAGAUUGGCUCUGGAAAUACUAUUAUGUCAAAAGGGCAGAAAUAAAAUUUGUAUUUCUUUUCCCUUG